rnacentral:rRNA from 1 species
AGGGUGGGGGGGGUGCUUACACAUGCAGUCGAACGGUGAAGCCAAGCUUGCUUGGUGGAUCAGUGGCGAACGGGUGAGUAACACGUGAGCAACCUGCCCUGGACUCUGGGAUAAGCGCUGGAAACGGCGUCUAAUACUGGAUAUGAGACGUGAUCGCAUGGUCGUGUUUGGAAAGAUUUUUCGGUCUGGGAUGGGCUCGCGGCCUAUCAGCUUGUUGGUGAGGUAAUGGCUCACCAAGGCGUCGACGGGUAGCCGGCCUGAGAGGGUGACCGGCCACACUGGGACUGAGACACGGCCCAGACUCCUACGGGAGGCAGCAGUGGGGAAUAUUGCACAAUGGGCGGAAGCCUGAUGCAGCAACGCCGCGUGAGGGAUGACGGCCUUCGGGUUGUAAACCUCUUUUAGCAGGGAAGAAGCGAAAGUGACGGUACCUGCAGAAAAAGCGCCGGCUAACUACGUGCCAGCAGCCGCGGUAAUACGUAGGGCGCAAGCGUUAUCCGGAAUUAUUGGGCGUAAAGAGCUCGUAGGCGGUUUGUCGCGUCUGCUGUGAAAUCCCGAGGCUCAACCUCGGGCCUGCAGUGGGUACGGGCAGACUAGAGUGCGGUAGGGGAGAUUGGAAUUCCUGGUGUAGCGGUGGAAUGCGCAGAUAUCAGGAGGAACACCGAUGGCGAAGGCAGAUCUCUGGGCCGUAACUGACGCUGAGGAGCGAAAGGGUGGGGAGCAAACAGGCUUAGAUACCCUGGUAGUCCACCCCGUAAACGUUGGGAACUAGUUGUGGGGACCAUUCCACGGUUUCCGUGACGCAGCUAACGCAUUAAGUUCCCCGCCUGGGGAGUACGGCCGCAAGGCUAAAACUCAAAGGAAUUGACGGGGACCCGCACAAGCGGCGGAGCAUGCGGAUUAAUUCGAUGCAACGCGAAGAACCUUACCAAGGCUUGACAUAUACGAGAACGGGCCAGAAAUGGUCAACUCUUUGGACACUCGUAACAGGUGGUGCAUG